GACGAACGCUGGCGGCGUGCCUAAUACAUGCAAGUUGAGCGCUGAAGGUUGGUACUUGUACCAACUGGAUGAGCAGCGAACGGGUGAGUAACGCGUGGGGAAUCUGCCUUUGAGCGGGGGACAACAUUUGGAAACGAAUGCUAAUACCGCAUAAAAACUUUAAACACAAGUUUUAAGUUUGAAAGAUGCAAUUGCAUCACUCAAAGAUGAUCCCGCGUUGUAUUAGCUAGUUGGUGAGGUAAAGGCUCACCAAGGCGAUGAUACAUAGCCGACCUGAGAGGGUGGUCGGCCACAUUGGGACUGAGACACGGCCCAAACUUCUACGGGAGGCAGCAGUAGGGAAACUUCGGCAAUGGACGAAAGUCUGACCGAGCAACGCCGCGUGAGUGAAGAAGGUUGUCGGAUCGGAAAACUCUGUUGGUAGAGAAGAACGUUGGUGAGAGUGGAAAGCUCAUCAAGUGACGGUAACUACCCAGAAAGGGACGGCUAACUACGUG
rnacentral:rRNA from 1 species